rnacentral:misc_RNA from 1 species
GAUAAACGAGAUUUUGAGUAAUGCGCGAGAUAUGAAUGGCGCGCGCGAUCGUACCGUUAAUUUAAAUUAACGUUAGCUUUUUAGCUUCAAGUUCAGAAAGAGUUUGAGAUAGCCCAUGAAGAUGACAAUAAAUUUGUCCUGAGCAUCAACCACAUCCAAUGAGCAACCCGAAAUGGCUGCCAAGUCAGCGCAAAGUGGUACCCCUCACAACUCCUUGGUGAAAUCCCCGAGGAAGAAGGAAAAAGAGAUUUCAAAACAACUUGAAGAAGCCAUUAAAUUCUUUAAAGAUCCGGCAAGCGACACUAGAGUUCGGGCCAACAUCAAGCUGAGCAAUGCCCUAGAUGCCAUCACUAAAGAAGCUCAAAGGAACGGCUUGAGUGAGGGGAUCAUCCAAGAUCUUGUUGAUAUAGCAGCGUCAGGAAAGUUUGCUGACUCAACAAGUUCCCGUCUGAUCAAACACCUACUACCAUCGGAUAGCAUCCCUGAGGAUGCAGCCAUACAGAGCAUAUCAUGGAUGUGCACCAAUAAACCAUCUCAUGAAAUUCAGGCAUUGCUCCUGAAGUGGAUUAUAUUGACCUUUGACCUUUUAGAUGGAACAGAGAAGCUACAUGCCUUAUAUGGCAUGAUCUUUUACUUUAUUGAGAAUGAUACAUUGUGUCCGCAUGCCUGCCAUCUGUUGUAUCUAUUGACAAGAAAAGAGGAUGUGAUUGAUCAUCGAGUAAGGAAACUCCUUAGUGUACAAAGGAGAGUGGGUACCCAACCUCACAUAACAGGUCUUCUAUCAAUCUACAAGGUUUUCGCUCCUCAUCUGGUUUCACUGUCCCUGCCGUCAACCCAGAGGGUGUACUUCAGGUUGACGGAUCGCAACUGGACGUCGGAGGUUCGCAAGGCGAGAGAGAGGAUCCAAGAGAGGAGACCUGCCAAUACGAGCAUGCACAGGAAUACAGCACACAGAACUAUUACAGAUACAACAAUGGUGCGGAAGAGAAGGAAGCUGAACCCUGUACCCGACCUGCGCUCUGCUUACACGACCCUUGACCCCAGGGCAGAGGUCAUGACCAAAGUACCCCUGGAGCAGGUCAAGUCUUUUGAAGAAUUUCUAGACAACUUUGAUCAUCUUGAGCUCCCAAGCCAGGCUGCAGCUGUGUUAAGGUCGCCAGUCUUGCAAUAUCUUCUUACUUGUCGAAGAGAUCAAGCCACUACCCAAAGACUCAAUUUCUGGCUCUCUCAGAAGUUACAAACAGAACUAAUGGACUCUGGAGGUUGCAAUGAGAGAACAGAGCAGCUCCUCCAGCUCCUUAUCAAUUUCAUGGAUUUUAUUCAGGAGAGUGUCCCGGUUUGUGAACAGUUCUUGACAAGGUAUCUACUGACUUGGAAUGGUCAAGAUUACAGGCCUUACAUACUCAAGAUGAUCAGCAGAUUUAGGAUAUACCCUUUCCAUGUUAUCAAUGACCUGGUCCUUGAACCUCUCAGGACUCUAUUCUUCAGUUCUUCCGUCUACUUCAAAUGCCAGAUCCUUCACACCUUGACAGAACUGCUAAGGAAUUAUGUAACCCAUGAGAUAAGUCGCUACCAGGACACGGCACAGAGACAGAAGGUCCAAGAGACGGAGAAGGUCUUGUUGGACGAUGAAGUAGAUGCAACCUCUCUUCAUUCAAGUUCUUCUGUGUUCUCUGUUCGAGUGGCGUAUUUUGACCCAGUUAUCACAGUGAAGAAGCUGGUAGAGUUUGUUGAUGGACUCUGUUCGGUAGCUCUUCAGAUCCAUCAUCAUCAUUCUCUUCUAUUACAUCAUACACUAACCUUCUUUGAACUAGUGUCAUCUGUGUACACAAAGCACGGUGUCGUCUUUUCCCAGAUUCCAUCCAAGAUAAUCUUCUAUUGGGCCAUGUUUGGUAUUGACCCAACAGCAUGCUCCAGAAUAUGCCAAAUAAUCUGCGAUUACAAGACAGUAUAUACUGCAUUGCAUGCAGAUGAUGAUGUCCACCAGCAGUGGGGCGAGAUUAAGAAGGGCAUCAACGAACUGAACAGCAUCAUCCUAACGCUCUGUAACUGUUUAUGGAGGACCAAGGCCUUUGAAACCAACAUGGAUCAUGGCGUUACCAUGGAGACCAUAGAAGCCACUGGGUUACCCUACCCCAAUAAGAUAUUCUCCAUGCAAGGCAGCCUGGCCCUGGUUUGCUUCUGUAAGAAGUUCUUUGAGGAGACUCAACCAGAAGGUAAGAAAGUAGACCCGAAGAUGAUCAAGAGUGCUCACAAAUCAGUCUACAUGGAAUUCUUACAAAGGGAGAGGAUGGAUGGGAUUGUCAACUUCAUCCAGACGUUCAUCCGACGGACAGGAGGAAGUCAGACCACAAUCAGUAAUAUUGAUCAAUCCAGCAUGCAAGGUUAAUAAGAACUUAAGAAGAGUGGACAGUAUUGAGACGUUCAUCCGAUGGACGCGAUCAAUCUAGCAUGUAAAGUUUACAAAAACUUAAGAAGAAAUGACAGUAUCGAGACAUUCUUCCGACGGACUAGAGGAAGUCAGACCACAUUCGGUAAACUUGAUCAAUCUAGCAUGCAAGGUUAACAAGAACUUAAGAAGAGUGGACAGUAUCGAGACGUUCAGCCGAUGGACAGGAGAAAGUCAGACCACAUUCAGUAAACUUGAUCAGUCUAGCAUGCAAGGUUAAAAGAACUUAAGAAGAGUGGACGGUAUCGAGACAUUCAUCCGACGGACUAGAGGAAGUCAGACUAUGUUUAGUAAACUUGAUCAGUCUUGCAUGCAAGGUUAACAAGAACUUAAGAAGAGUGGACAGUAUCAAGACGUUCAUCCAACGUACAGGAGAAAGUCAGACCACAUUCAGUAAACUUGAUCAGUCUAGCAUGCAAGGUUAAAAGAACUUAAGAAGAGUGGACGGUAUCGAGACAUUCAUCCGACGGACUAGAGGAAGUUAGACCACAUUCAGUAAACUUGAUCAAUCUAGCAUGUAAGGUUAACAAGAACUAAGGGACAAUAGUCAAGAUCAAUGACUCCCUCCCAAGGAUUAGAGCUUUAUAGGAUUGAUUGAAAUGUUUGGUAAUCUUGAUCAAUCUUAGGUACAAGGUUAACACGAACUAAGGAAGAGCGGACUGAAUCAACUUUAUCCAGACGUUUACAUGACAAAUUGGAGGGACUCUGACCCUAUUAUAAGUUCUUGCAAUGCUCAGCUGAAUGGUUCACUUGUUAAGAACUAUACUACUUUAUAUCUGUUCUUGUCAUUCAACCUUUAUAAUUUGAGUCUUCUAUAUGAUUGUAUACCAAAUUAUGCUGGCCGGUGUAGUGAAUGACUUACAUGUAUUUGAUAACUGUACAGGAAUUGUACAGUAAAUCUAGGGAUGCGCUCUGAUAAUGCACGGGCAGUUGAUGCAGACCAAAAUACGCGUUUUUAAUGUAUUGCUAAAACACUAUCUAUUAUAAAUUGUAGGUGAUGUUAAUGCUGAUUUAGAGAAAAAGGGAUAUUGUAUUAUAGUUAGAAAGUUUAUUUCCUCAAUUCUGUAAUUAGUUGAACAUACCA